GCCAUUUUACCAAGAAAGUUGGGUUUCUUUUACUGGCAAAUAGUACUUCAAGAGCACAGUCUUAUGUAAGCAUGACCCAUCUGCCUGGCACCAGCACCUGGGGCUGCCAGGCAGCCACCCCUGCAGCUGUGUUGACAGGACCUGGCAGAGGGACUGACCCACCUUUGGAAAAUGACACCAGCAAUAUCAGGAUGUGUCAACUGGAUUUAUGCUAAGAAAAUAGGAUUUUUGGUGUUCCUCUGUUUCCCAAAGUUUGAGACACUUUCAGACACUCUGCUUUGCGGUUGUGGCCGAUGUUACCCAUGGGUGGGACUUUUGCUUUGCUCUAGAUUUUUGUAACACCCUGGGGAGUUUCAGGGGCCAAUGCUGAGAGAAGACCACAGGCUGACACAUCAUGAGGUGCCUAACUUACUGAGAAUCAUGCCUGCUGUGAUGAGCCCUUGGAAACCAUCAGGACUGGAUGGUAGGGGUCCUGAGAGGAUUGGGGGAGGAGGCCUUGAUAUGACAGAGUGGACAGAGGCCGUGGAACCCAGGACAGCCAGCCUGCUCCACAAUCCUCAUCCCCACAGACCUUCAUGUGUGGCUCCUAAAUAAGAGGAAACCCACUCCUGAUAAGUCAGGGGCUUU
rnacentral:lncRNA from 10 species